UACGUAGGGGGCAAGCGUUGUCCGGAUUUAUUGGGCGUAAAGAGCGUGUAGGCGGCCAUUCAGGUCAGCUGUGAAAACUCGAGGCUCAACCUCGAGACGUCGGUUGAAACCGUUUGGCUAGAGUCCGGAAGAGGCGAGUGGAAUUCCUGGUGUAGCGGUGAAAUGCGCAGAUAUCAGGAGGAACACCAAUGGCGAAGGCAGCUCGCUGGGACGGUACUGACGCUGAGACGCGAAAGCGUGGGGAGCAAACAGG
rnacentral:rRNA from 1 species